UUUGCUUUUAUUAUUUUUUUUUAACUAAAUGUUUUCCCUAUAACUUUCUCUCUUUAGUUUUAGUUCUGCCCUUUAGAACAACAUACGACUAUCCUACUCCCUCUUCAACAUAGCAAUCCUUCAGGCAUUUGAAGACGGCCAUCAUGUCUCCCCUAAUUUUCUCUUCUCCAGGCACGUGACACAAGCUGACCUCAAGAGCUCCACGUUUUGGCUUCGAGCAAGUUUUGGUGCUACUGUUUUUGCAGUUUUGGGCUUUGCUAUGUACAAAGCAUUAUUGAAACAGCGAUGAUAUAAAAAGAAAUACUGUCCCUACCAAAAACAAAUACUUUUAUGUACAUUCUGAAUGCUUUAAGUUCUGCUAGAAUUAUUGAGAUAUUUAUACAUGCAGAGUUACUUUAUUAAUAUUUGUAAUUCAUGCAUAAGAGUAUUUUAAUGAUAGUUAUAACUGCAGUAUUGGCUAGCAUAUGGAAAGAAAACAGCUAACAGCCAAACUAAAAUGGCUAAAUUCCAGAGGCCAAAAGGGAAUAUUUUGUAAAUAUAUGUACAUAUUCAGGCAAGAUAUGGUCUCCCAAGCUGAGUUCUAGAAAUGAUGUUUCUAGACAUUUCUAAGUGGUAUUGUUAGUGCUCACUUGGCUCACUCUUCUAGGUUUAAGUUAGCCCAGAGAUUGUAUUUACUCAUGGAUCACUUUAUUUAUUUCACAUUUACUCAGAAUGAUCCUUUGGGUUCUAUAAGGACAUAAGGUACAAUUUGCCAUUGUCUCUCCAUUUUUAAAAACAUACAAGUCAGUGUCAGCUUACCAACAUGACAUUUUUUCAGUCAGUUGUGGUAGGCCAGCCUUGAAGCCAUCGCACAGUCUAGAAACUUGUGUAGCUGAGUGUGCAGCUCACCUUUAAGGGUGAAGUUAGGUAAAAGCAAUUAGCAGAGGCGUUAUCUAUGUGAUUAUGUUGCUUCCUUGUCAGUAUGUUGAAUUUUAUAGCCCUUUCAAUGAAAUAAAAAAAAAAUUUGUAUAUUACCAAUGUUUUUAGUUUAAAUAAAGAGUCACCCUUACUACUGUUGAAUUUCAUCCCAAGUGUAAAUCAUUCUAUAAUGGCUGUGUCUGUUAUAGUAUAUUACAGUAACUGCAUGUGUCACCAAGUGUUCUAUAUCAGGCUAGGAUAACCUAGAGGCAGUAAUUUUUUAAAUGAUAAAAUAAAUCUAAUGAAUAUAAACUCUCAUGAUAAACCUAUUUUUUCCAUCAUCAGCCUUUUCAAGUAUUUAAAUAAAUAACUGCUGUGUACUGUGA
rnacentral:lncRNA from 10 species